rnacentral:rRNA from 1 species
AACGAACGCUGGCGGCAGGCCUAACACAUGCAAGUCGAACGGACGUAGCAAUACGUUAGUGGCUCACGGGAGAGUAACGCGUGGGAACCUACCUUUUGGUUCGGGAUAACAUCGGGAAACUGGUGCUAAUACCGGAUAAGCCCUUCGGGGGAAAGAUUUAUUGCCGAAAGAUGGGCCCGCGUUGGAUUAGCUAGUUGGUGAGGUAAUGGCUCACCAAGGCAACGAUCCAUAGCUGGUCUGAGAGGAUGAUCAGCCUCACUGGGACUGAGACACGGCCCAGACUCCUACGGGAGGCAGCAGUGGGGAAUAUUGGACGAUGGGGGAAACCCUGAUCCAGCCAUGCCGCGUGAAUGAUGAAGGCCUUCGGGUUGUAAAGUUCUUUUGGUGGGGACGAUGAUGACGGUACCCACAGAAUAAGCUCCGGCUAACUUCGUGCCAGCAGCCGCCGUAA